rnacentral:rRNA from 1 species
AGCGAACGCUGGCGGCAGGCCUAACACAUGCAAGUCGAACGAACUCUUCGGAGUUAGUGGCGGACGGGUGAGUAACACGUGGGAACGUGCCUUUUGGUUCGGAAUAACUCAGGGAAACUUGUGCUAAUACCGAAUGUGCCCUUCGGGGGAAAGAUGUAUCGCCAUUAGAGCGGCCCGCGUCUGAUUCGCUGGUUGGUGAGGUAACGGCUCACCAAGGGGACGAUCAGUAGCUGGUCUGAGAGGAUGACCAGCCACACUGGGACUGCGACACGGCCCAGACUCCUACGGGAGGCAGCAGUGGGGAAUCUUGCGCAAGGGGCGAAAGCCUGACGCAGCCAUGCCGGGGGAAUGAGGAAGGUCUUAGGAUUGUAAAAUUCUUUCACCGGGGACGAUAAUGACGGUACCCGGAGAAGAAGCCCCGGCUAACUUCGUG